UACGGGGGGGGCAAGCGUUGUUCGGAAUUACUGGGCGUAAAGGGCUCGUAGGUGGCCAACUAAGUCAUACGUGAAAUCCCUCGGCUUAACCGGGGAACUGCGUCUGAUACUGGAUGGCUUGAGUUCGGGAGAGGGAUGCGGAAUUCCAGGUGUAGCGGUGAAAUGCGCAGAUAUUGGGAAGAACACCCGUGGCGAAGGCGGCUCUCUGGAACGCAACUGACGCUGAGACGCGAAAGCGUGGGGAGCAAACAGG
rnacentral:rRNA from 1 species